UACGUAGGGGGCAAGCGUUGUCCGGAAUCAUUGGGCGUAAAGCGCGUGUAGGCGGUUCGGUAAGUCCGCUGUGAAAGUCGGGGGCUCAACCCUCGGAUGCCGGUGGAUACUGUCGAGCUUGAGUACGGAAGAGGCGAGUGGAAUUCCUGGUGUAGCGGUGAAAUGCGCAGGUAUCAGGAGGAACACCAAUUGCGAAGGCAGCUCGCUGGGACGUUACUGACGCUGAGACGCGAAAGCGUGGGGAGCAAACAGG
rnacentral:rRNA from 1 species